GACGAACGCUGGCGGCGUGCUUAACACAUGCAAGUCGAACGAGAAUCUGCGGAAAGAGGAUUCGUCCAAUUGAAACAGAGGACAGUGGCGGACGGGUGAGUAAUGCGUGAGCAACCUGCCCUUCAGAGGGGGACAACAGUUGGAAACGACUGCUAAUACCGCAUAAUGUAUCCGGAAGGCAUCUUCUGGAUACCAAAGGAGAAAUCCGCUGAUGGAUGGGCUCACGUCUGAUUAGCUAGUUGGUGAGGUAACGGCUCACCAAGGCUGCGAUCAGUAGCCGGACUGAGAGGUUGAACGGCCACAUUGGAACUGAGACACGGUCCAGACUCCUACGGGAGGCAGCAGUGGGGAAUCUUCCGCAAUGGGCGAAAGCCUGACGGAGCAAACGCCGCGUGAGUGAUGACGGCCUCGGUUGUAACUACCUGUUGUUGUAGGAAGAGUAAAUG
rnacentral:rRNA from 1 species